rnacentral:rRNA from 1 species
GACGAACGCUGGCGGCGUGCCUAAUACAUGCAAGUUGAGCGCUGAAGGUUGGUACUUGUACCAACUGGAUGAGCAGCGAACGGGUGAGUAACGCGUGGGGAAUCUGCCUUUGAGCGGGGGACAACAUUUGGAAACGAAUGCUAAUACCGCAUAAAAACUUUAAACACAAGUUUUAAGUUUGAAAGAUGCAAUUGCAUCACUCAAAGAUGAUCCCGCGUUGUAUUAGCUAGUUGGUGAGGUAAAGGCUCACCAAGGCGAUGACACAUAGCCGACCUGAGAGGGUGGUUGGCCACAAUGGGACUGGGACACGGCCCAAACUCCUUCGGGAAGCAGCAGGAGGGAAUCUUCGGCCAUGGACGAAAAUCUGACCGAGCCACGCCGCGUGAGUGAAGAAGGUUUUCGGGUCGUAAAACUCUGUUUGUAGGGAAGAAAGUUGGUGAGAGUGGAAAGCUCAUCAAGUGACGGUAACUACUCAGAAAGGGACGGCUAACUACGUG